rnacentral:tRNA from 1 species
UCGGCCUUAGCUCAGUCGGGAGAGCGUCUUACUGAACUUAGAAGGUCGUGUGUUCGACCCACACAGGCCGUA